rnacentral:rRNA from 1 species
CAGCCGCCGCGGUAAUACGGAGGGGGCUAGCGUUGUUCGGAAUUACUGGGCGUAAAGCGCACGUAGGCGGCUUUGUAAGUCAGAGGUGAAAGCCCGGGGCUCAACCCCGGAAUUGCCUUUGAGACUGCAUCGCUUGAAUCCAGGAGAGGUGAGUGGAAUUCCGAGUGUAGAGGUGAAAUUCGUAGAUAUUCGGAAGAACACCAGUGGCGAAGGCGGCUCACUGGACUGGUAUUGACGCUGAGGUGCGAAAGCGUGGGGAGCAAACAGGAUUAGAUACCCCCGUAGUCCCUGUCUCUUAUAC